GAGGCUCAGCUGGACGUCGCCAUCUGCCGCCUAGGAGAUGAGGCCAUCUGCUGGCAAGCCGGCAUGGAAGCGUCUCUCCCCGAUUGGCCUAGCUUUAAAGCCGCGUUUCUGGAACGAUUCGAUCCGACCCAAGAAGAGUUGUUUAGCCGACUAGCUCAUUGUCGGCAAGAACGGGGCGAAGCUGUACGGACGUACGCUGACCGCUACCGCGACCUAGCUGCACAACUGGGUGUGGACACGCAACACGACCCCAUCCACAUGCAUAACUUCUUACAAGGACUACAACUCAAGGUUUACAACAAGGUUUUCUUCAUGCGACCAUCUAGCUUUGAAGACGCUGUACGAUGCGCCAUCUAUAUCAACGAGGGCUUGGACCGCCAGGAUGUGGCUGGCCACUACGAACCGUUUCCCCCUCAGCGCACACGUGAUAUGGAUUUCCACAGCCAUCCUUCUCGGGCUACCCCGCGCUGGGAAAACCGUCACGGCGACCUUCGUGGUAAUGUGCCUGAUUCCCCGACCCCUAGCGGCUCACGACCGGAUGGUCCCCGAACUCCAGUGGCUACACAACGUCCCAUGGGACCACGGCAACCAGAGCAGAAGCCCGCUGGGAAUGCUCCCUGGCAGAGUCGCCCAAAACCUAAGGUUUCGACACCCCCAGAGAAUGAACCCCUGGAGUCACGAGUUGACGAAAUCGCUCGCCAGUUGUCACGAUUAACCCUGUUGCUGGAGCGCAACCCUAAUGUACAAUUGUGGGAAAGGGAUAACACUCACCAUGAAGACCCACAUUUGUCUCAGAUGGAGCAUCCGGACAUCUACUCUUGUUUCCGGCCGGCUACCCCACCAGCCGCCUAUGUCAAACGUGUGGCCAAUUUCGAGCCUAUACCGCUUCCCCGCAAGCGUCCAACGGCUACCCCUAGCCAGGAUGCGCCUCGGCCUGCUACUACCGGGCGUAUAGGCAUUGUACGACCUGUGGUGACACCGUUGGCUUCCCCGAAUGCCCCGGCUACGGCUACCCAGGCACAUCAGCCACAGGAGCCAGCAGCUCCGGGUGCGCCACCUCCAGGGUGUACUGCCGCAACCGGAGGUACCGUCCCUGCUCAGCGAGGCAUUGCCAGCGCUGAACCUCGUCUCCGUCGACGAGUAGCUGAGUCUGGCAGCCGCACCGAUCCGAUUCCUGCGGACCCACAAGAAGAAGAACGGCGUAUUGCUGAGGACAUCAUUCAUAAGGUCAACAAGUAUGCACUACCAUUGAGUACAACUCUACGAUGCAACCCUAUCAGCAUCUACACGAAGGUUGGCAGCCGAGUUCUUGGAUUGGCUCGUCAGCACACCAGCGCUGGCAACCCCCAGCCUGGGCCCAUGUUUGGUCCAGCAAGGCCUACGGCAGGCACCAUGCAAGCUUCUCUUUCAGAGCGACCAUCUUCAACAAUACCCGCCUGGAAGUCUGAUGCCGUCGUACCACCCUGGCAGGUUUGCAAAGCUACCGUAUGGAUAAUUGAUGGACAUGGAGGACAAGUUCCCGUCCCCGCUGUCAUCGAUUCUGGGGCUUCUCAUAGUGUUGUUACACGAGACACACUACGGCGUUUAGAUCUUCUACACCUGAUGGAGGAGACGGAGGUGACGUUCCUGAAUGCGGAUGGCAAUCGUGGUCGGGCCGCUGGACGUGUCAGUGAACUGCAAGUGUCCACUGGCGACCUAACGAUGCUGCUAAGUCCGUUCGUCAGCACCGCCCUCAACUAUCAGCUACUCCUGGGCACCGACUUCCUCUAUCCAAUACGAGCAAGCAUUUCGUACGACAGCAGUCGCCUGGAAUACACGAAUGACCGGGAUCAGCGGUCCAACAUUGCUAUCCAUUUUCUUCGGAGCCCCAGCUCUAAUAUUCCUCCGUCUGCUCGGCUUUGGGACGACUCACCUAAGCAAGACGACACUCAACCAGCUUCCAUGUUGACGGCCGAGGCAUCAAUACAGCGGCCUGAGACGCCCACGCCACAAAGGCAGAUAUCGCCUGCGGCUAUCAGUAGAGGCUCCGCGCCUGAGACCAUUGAUUCACCUGAGGAAAACAGCGGAGAGGUUAGUGAUGGUGAUUCGACAGCCCGUGGGGACAUGGACAUGGAACACAUCGUCGACACACUUGUACGGCACGUGUUUAGGUCGGACGUGGUUCCGUCGGAAAGUGCCUCCAGCGGCGAAUGGGCUGCGGAUGCAUGGAGUACCGACAGCGUCGUCAGUUCUGGCAGUGAAGAGGCUCGGGCAAAUGUCUGGCCUGGAGAUGAGUUCGAGUACGACAAUGACUCGCACUCCGGACCUGGACUGCCAAUAUCGACCCCUGCGGAUCCAUUCCGUUCUUUUCCUGAAACUAUUCCCGUCUUGAGUUCGCGAGAGCUCCUGUUACCACGAUUGCUAACUGAGGAGUGUGCUCCCGUUACCCACAGCCAUGCGGCGGCAGCACAGUUUAAUGCGAACAUGCCAGCUGCCCUUGCCCCAGACGGCUUGGAUCACGACGGACAUUUAGAGGAAGCUCAUUUUCGCGGGUUGGUAGCCCGUGCGGUUCGGCCAGUCAAGAGCCCUACCCCUGAGCUACGCGAGUUGCUAAGCAGCAAAGUAAACACCGAUCUUCAGUACCUCGACCACCAGCAGCUGGUCGCAUGUUUGACUGACAACUUUGACAUGUUCGCCUUAACCAACCGAGAGCUAGGGCUUACGUCCUGGGUGUCCAUGAAGGUGGACACGGGAGAUCAUCCUCCUAUCGUGCAGAAUCCUUACCGUCUGUCACGAACGGAGAAAGCCACCGUUGAUGCUGAGAUGCGGCAGAUGCUACAGGACGGAAUCAUCGAACUGUCCAACAGUCCUUGGGUGUCUCCAGUCGUAGUCGUUCCCAAGAAAAACGGAGAACUUCGGCCCUGUGUAGAUAUGCGGAGGGUCAACGACGUCACUAAGGACAUCCGGUUUCCGAUAGGUCACAUCCAGGAUAUUUUGGAUAUUGCUGCACCUCCGGGUGGCGAGACUCGUUACUACUCCAGCCUGGACUUGAAGUCGGGCUACUGGCAAGUCCCGAUGGCGGACGAGGCUUCUAAGGAGCGUACGGCAUUUGCCACGCCCACAGCUCAGUAUCGAUAUGUACGAAUGCCCAUGGGUCUAAAGGGAGCAGCCGCCGUGUUCGCUACCCUGAUGCACAAGGUUCUGGGCCCACUACUAGAGGAUUCGCCUCCACCCCCUGCUUCAUUGGAUAACCCACCGCGGGAACGGUGUGUGGUGGUUUAUCUGGAUGAUAUCCUUAUCUUCAGCCCAACACUACAAGAUCAUGUACGACAUCUUCAGCAAGUGUUCGACCUUCUCCGAAUGGCUGGUCUCAAGAUCGCAGCUAAGAAGUGCACGUUUGGCCAACAACGCGUGGUUUUCCUUGGUCAUCUACUUGAUGGAAUACGUGGUGUCGUGGGACCUAACCCCACCAACGUCAUGAAAAUUGCAGAACUUCCGUCGCCAUCCAAUGUUCGCGAAGUACGAGCUUGGCUGGGAGCUGUUGGUUACUACCGGGAACUUAUCCCUGGCUUCGGCUUGAUUGCACAGCCAUUGUAUGCGCUACUUAAGCAGGGGACACCCUGGUGCUGGGGUCCAAGAGAAGAAGACGCUUUUCAAGAGCUACGUAAUGCUUUGCUGGGGGAGCCUGUUCUCUGUGCACCUGAUUUCCGACGCCCGUUCUUGGUCCAAGUCGACUGGUGCCGCACUGCCGUCGCCGCGUGCCUGGCCCAGCAGGACAACAAAGGAUAUGAAUACGCCGUUCAGUUUGCUAGUAAGGCUAUGACUGGCUCACAGCUGAAUUACAGCGCGGCAGAUGGAGAGGCCUACGCUGCCUUAUGGGCAAUUAAACACUUUCACCCCUACUUGUACGGCACUUAUUUUGUAUUCAUCACGGAUUCGAUGGCGGUUCGGUCUUUGCGGACUGCACGUGCUCGAGAUCUUCUGGGAAAGCUGGCUCGAUAUGCGCUCAAGCUUCAAGCCUACGACUUUGAAGUGAUGCAUAAGGCCGGACGCAAGAAUUCAAACGUGGAUGGUUUGAGCCGCUUGGGACAUCUGAUGGAGCCCCACCGUAAUUUGCCUACGGAGAUCGACCCCAUUCCGGACCCACUUGAGGAUGCCGCCAUCUUGGCAUGCUCAAUUGCAGCCGUCACCUCCGAGGUUCAGAUCCUCAUAACUGAACAGGAAGAGGAGUGUAGCCGCGGCAUUAUACCGGAUGAGCCGUCCAUGGUGGCUGUACACCAGCCUCCGGCUCCAUCGUUGCCUACACCAGAGCACAACCCCUUGCGUGAAGCAACCAGACCCCUGGUCCCGCGUGGCAAGCGACGCUUGGAUAGGUCAGCUCGUCUGACAUCUGGAACACCAGAUAAGAUACCUGCAGUACAACACGCACGGCAACACCGUCGCCGUCACGCUGUCAAUCCACGUCUAGCAGAUUACGCGGAGCCACCUGCUUCCGAAAGCACCAAUACUGAUGAUGACCCCGGAAUGAUCUGUUCGGUCUGUCUACGAGGACGGCCGACAUCCACUCUUCUGCUCUGCGAUGAGCCUUUCUGCUGUCUGGGCUGGCACACCACGUGUCUAGAUCCACCAUUGUCUGUGGUACCGGCUGGGCCAUGGUUUUGCCCACCUCAUAAUAGCAAACCAGCUCAACAUUCUGCAAAGCGUCGUCUGUCUACCGGCCCUGGCGAUACGCCAGCCAAGCGGGUGCGAUUUUCCCGAUCCCUGCCCACCCUGGACAAACCCUGUCCUGCUGAUCAGCGAUUGGCUGGAGGUCCAGCCAUCAUUCACCCCCGGGCCACCCCAGGUCGCCCUAUGGCCGACCGUAUUCCUACUCAGGGUUUGACCCCGUCACCUUCUCCUUCCUUGUCUUCCUCAAGCAAGGAAAGCGAAUCAGGUCCGGAUUCCAAUGUUUUUACCCCAGAUAGUGGUAACAGCUCCGGCGAGACGCCGAAGCCUGGACCUCUCACCCCUACAGAAAUUUGGCAGGAUAAAGCAUUGAUUCGAUACUUAGAAUUUGGCAAGCUUCCUGUCAACGUUUCGGCAUCCGGGGAAGACAAUCUGAGGGAGAUGACAAGAUUACGUAAAAAGGCUGCUUGAUAUGAACUUUCGAAUGGCCAGCUGUGGAAGCUGAGCUCGGAUAAGCAACCACGGGUGCGAGUUCUCAAACCUGAGGAACGUCUGGCAGCGCUUCAAGAGGCCCACGACAUGGCUCAUUGGGGAGUCGGCAAGACCUAUGACUUUCUUCGCAAGCGUUUCUUUUGGGAGAACAUGCGACAGGAUGUGCAGACACACGUGGCCAAGUGUCAGAAGUGUGCAC
rnacentral:lncRNA from 1 species